rnacentral:lncRNA from 1 species
CUUGAUGUCCUGGCUGGGCUCCAGGAGAGUAGACAGCUCCAUGAACUGCAUAGAACUGACGUGCAGGGCCAAACCAGAGCCUUCCCUUGACUGCCACAGGGAAGAGAAACAAAAGUGGGCCCAGACCCUGAGUUUGCAGAACUGCUUUAGACAAGACAGGCCAAGCCCUGGGGUCAUCCCCAGACAUGCACAAGUCAGGCCACUCCUCCAGCACCCCAUGGUCAUCAGUUCUGGUCUAGCUUCUAGAUUUUUCUGAGUCCUCCCUGAGUUCCAGCGUCUUUCUUCUCGUUCAUGUUUUCUUCGCUCUUUCUAUUUCCAUCUUUGCUUUCCUCUCCGGUCCUUCUGUUCUAUCUUUCUGGGCUUCUGUGGGAUGUGAGGGGUCACAGACUGGCAUCCUUGGGACUCUGUGUAGAUCACUGAUCACUGACAUACUUCUUUCUGUGUCUCCUUAAUCUUAAUGAGACCUUAAUCUUAAUGAGACCAUUAGGGGGUGAUAAUCGCCACUAGUCCUGGUCACAAUUAGUCUGAAUCAGUGGUCUUCUGUAGGUCUAAAAGAUCCCCCAGGAGGUGGGUAGAGGACAGGAAGAGGACUCAGGGUCUAUCCCAACUUCCUUACUUCCUGGGUCCAUGCAGGUAGAAACUUGGAUCACUCCUCUCGGGAAGGCAAAACCUGACCCCUCUCUUGCUGUGAGCCCAAGCUUCCACCUAAUCUCUGUCCCCUGAGGACCACCUGCUACCAAGCCCCAUGGCUCCUACCAUUCUCUCAUUUCUGGAGGCCUAAAGAAGAUUUGAAACUUAAGGACCCUCACUUCCCACCUUCACGGCUGUGACAGUGCACCCAUGCAGAGAAAACACUUCUUGGCACUAUGCUUUGGCCAUAGUAAACAUCCAGUAAGUGGUAGUGGUUUUUAAAGCGACGUUUUCUUACACUUUGGUCUUAAAAAAAAAAGACCCCAUUUUCUUCCUCCCCACUGCUUACUCUUAUGAAAACAACACUUCAAUUUCUGCAUGCUUCUAUUUUUGAAGAUCCAGACCUGUUUGCCAGUGACCAUCUUGCACUUCUGUGGCUUAGUGACUAACUGCUUCAAAAGGCCCAACUCCUCCUGUGCUGGGGCUGAGCCAGAGCUGAGGAGCUGCGGCUGGGGCCAUCAGAGACAAAUUAAUACCUCCCGUCCUCUGGCUGCUCUGAAGACAUCUUACGCUCGAUGAGAAAAGAGGAAGGUGGGUUUUCACUGAGGUCAGAUGCUAGCUGUCUACCUAGUGGAAAUCGGCCAUGUCUGACUUCCUUCUCCCUCUGUCGCCGAGCUCUGACCUCAACCUCUGUCCAUCUCCAGUCCUCUGUUAAUUCACUUAGGUCAGAGCAUUGUGUCUAUUUGCUCAUAGCCACACGGACUGAAGAGUUCUAGUGAGAAGUAGCUGGUGGAGAGAUGGGGCACUGGGGUGGGGGGCGGGGGGAGAGUUCAGUCUGUCUAAUGAAUUCUUCACCCAUCAUGUGGACUUAGGGAAAAGAACUUUUUGAGAGAGAGAGAUGAGAUCUUACAUAGCUCACUCAGGCUGGCCUCAAACUUGCUGUGUAGCUGAGGACGACUUUGAAUUCCCGUUCUUUCUGCCUAUACCUCCACAGUGCUUGGAUUAUGGGCGUGAGCCAAGCAUGCCUGGUUUGUAUGGUACUGGGAUUCAAAUCCAGAGCUUUGUGCAUGCUAGACAAGCACUGUGGUCGCUGAACUACAUCCCCAACAGUAGAUUUAGUGAUUACUAAGACACCCCUAUAUUUCCUUGUUGAUGCUUUUCUUUUAAUAAUAAUAAAAGAGAUUUUUA